GACGAACGCUGGCGGCGUGCUUAACACAUGCGAGUCGAGCGAAUGGAUUAAGAGCUUGCUCUUAUGAAGUUAGCGGCGGACGGGUGAGUAACACGUGGGUAACCUGCCCAUAAGACUGGGAUAACUCCGGGAAACCGGGGCUAAUACCGGAUAACAUUUUGAACCGCAUGGUUCGAAAUUGAAAGGCGGCUUCGGCUGUCACUUAUGGAUGGACCCGCGUCGCAUUAGCUAGUUGGUGAGGUAACGGCUCACCAAGGCAACGAUGCGUAGCCGACCUGAGAGGGUGAUCGGCCACACUGGGACUGAGACACGGCCCAGACUCCUACGGGAGGCAGCAGUAGGGAAUCUUCCGCAACGGACGAAAGUCUGACGGAGCAACGCCGCGUGAGUGAUGAAGGCUUUCGGGUCGUAAAACUCUGUUGUUAGGGAGGAACAAGUGCUAGUUGAAUAAGCUGGCACCUUGACGGUACCUAACCAGAAAGCCACGGCUAACUACGUGCCAGCAGCCGCGGUAA
rnacentral:rRNA from 1 species